GUACUGUCGGCAGCACAUAUGCUAAAAUUGGAACGAUACAGAAAAGAGGAUCAUGGCGCCUGCGCAAAAAUGAUGACAUGCAAAUUCGUGAGGCGUUCCAUAAAAAU